rnacentral:rRNA from 1 species
AUUGAACGCUGGCGGCAUGCCUUACACAUGCAAGUCGAACGGCAGCGCGGACUUCGGUCUGGCGGCGAGUGGCGAACGGGUGAGUAAUACAUCGGAACGUACCCUGUUGUGGGGGAUAACUAGUCGAAAGAUUAGCUAAUACCGCAUACGACCUGAGGGUGAAAGUGGGGGACCGGAAACGGCCUCAUGCAGCAGGAGCGGCCGAUGUCUGAUUAGCUAGUUGGUGGGGUAAAGGCCCACCAAGGCGACGAUCAGUAGCUGGUCUGAGAGGACGAUCAGCCACACUGGGACUGAGACACGGCCCAGACUCCUACGGGAGGCAGCAGUGGGGAAUUUUGGACAAUGGGGGCAACCCUGAUCCAGCAAUGCCGCGUGUGUGAAGAAGGCCUUCGGGUUGUAAAGCACUUUUGUCCGGAAAGAAAUCGCGCUGGUUAAUACCUGGCGUGGAUGACGGUACCGGAAGAAUAAGCACCGGCUAUCUACGUG